GAUGAUAGGGGCUGUGAUGCAGAACUGUGUGUGUGUGAGAGCGCGUUGUGCUCACCUCUGUCAAUGAAAAUCCAUCUGCUUUCAGCGCUCGCUGCAGAGCAAUGUCUGCUUCUUUUGUGUUUUGCAGUGAGCAGUGGUCUAUGAAGGUGUCAAAGUUGCAUGCAGCAGAAAGGUGAAGCUUGCAGUAACUGGCUCAGGACAGCAAAGUUGACGCGGUGCCAGGAUCACUCACAUUCCACAGCUGUCAAGGGCUCUCUUGGCAAAGCCCCUCCGUACCAGCAUCAUCCCGGCUCCCCACCACCUGGCGCUCAUCCCCACCUGCAGCUGGAGCCGCGGGUUCCAAAUUCUGGGAGCAGGGGAAGGCAGCAGAGCGGGUGUGAAGGCUGCUCCCAGGUGCUGGCAACCUGCAUGCAGGCAGCGGGGGCACCACGGUUGAAGCCUUGCCUGGCACGAUGCAGAACAUUGCAAUGAAUGGCAGCUGGGUGUGCUGAUUCGCAUCAGGUGAAGACCUGGCUUGUUUAGCAGAAGGAAACCAAUGGGGGCAGAAGCCCCCUGCUUUGAGAGAUGGAGCAGGGAAUGGGACCCAGGUGACCCUUAUGCUGUAACUGUAGUAAGGGCCAAGUGAAAAUAAGGCCUUUGUUAAUUGCUCCACAAUUAACCAACACGCCUUCAGAGUAAAAACAUACACCCAAGACUCUUCCCUUUGGAUGAAUACUUCCAUUUAUUCCAACUGG
rnacentral:lncRNA from 7 species